AAGUGCUAAAUGGGGGAGAGGGAGAUGCAAGUCUUUUUCUCUGCCUCCUUGUUAUGCUCUCAUCUUAGGAAAUACAGAGAAGUGUCCCUGUGAAGGUCAGAGACUAAGAAAAAUGAAUUUGCAUCCAUAUUUAAUAUGACCUAUUUGCCUUUACUCAUAACUUCAAAAUAGCAGUAAGUUCCUGCUUCCUUAGGAAACCUUCAGUUAUUAUUCUGGACUUUUAUUCUGGUAGCAAAGAUUCUGUUCUGUAAGAAUCCUGUUUGAUGCAGGUCUCAAGAGAAUUUAGAUGUACUGCCAGCAGCAUUAAGAAAUUUCAGGCUUUAUUUUCGUUGGCUCCUUCCCAUCAGUUUGGAAUUUAUUUUUCACAUACAAAAGAGAGUCUUCUACCAAAGGAAACAGGGAAAAUAUUUAAUACUCUUGUACUUUUAAAUAUAUUGGGAACUAAAACUGGGAAGGUGCUGUUUUUCUUUCUUACUUACCUAAAUUGAAGUUGCCCCCAGUAAUUUUUAUAUUUAGCAAAAGCCCCCAGAAUCCAUAUUGGGAACUACCAUUGGGAAAUAGAAGUAGUCAUGCAAAUGAGGUAAAUAGGCUCCUGAGUUUUGCCAGAAUUCCACCAAAGUUUAAUCUUGGAAAGCCAAA
rnacentral:lncRNA from 1 species